rnacentral:lncRNA from 1 species
UCACCCACAUGACCGACGUCACCCGCAUCACCGACGUCACCCGCAUCACCGACGUCACCCGCACCACGGACGUCACCCGCAUCACGGACGUCACCCGCAUCAUGGACGUCACCCGCAUCACGGACGUCACCCGCAUCACGGAAGUCAUCCGCAUCACGGACGUCACCCACAUCACUGACAUCACCCGCACCACGGACAUCACCCGCAUCACCGACGUCACCCGCACCACGGACGUCACCCGCACCACGGACGUCACCCGCAUCAUGGAUGUCACCCGCAUCACCGACGUCACCUGCACCAUGGACGUCACCCGCAUCACCGAUGUCACCCGCACCACGGACGUCACCCGCAUCACCGACGUCACCUGCAUCACGGAUGUCACCCGCAUCACGGACCCCGCAUCACGGCUGCACCACGGACGUCACCUGCACCAAGGACGUCACCUGCAUCACCGACGUCACCCGCACCACGGACGUCACCCGCACCACGGACGUCACCCACAUGACCGGCAUCACCCUCAUCACGGACGUGACCCACAUCACCGACGUCACCCACAUCACGCACGUCACCCACAUCACGGACGUCACCGGCACCACGGACGUCACCCGCAUCACGGACGUCACCAGCAUCACGGACGUCACCCGCACCACGGACGUCACCCGCAUCACCGACGUCACCUGCACCACGGACGUCACCCACAUCACGGACGUCACCCGCAUCAUGGACGUCACCCGCAUCACGGACGUCACCCGCACCACGGACGUCACCCACAUCACCGACGUCACCCGCAUCACGGAUGUCACCCGCACCACGGACGUCACCCGCACCACGGACGUCACCUGCAUCACGGACGUCACCCGCAUCACGGACGUCACCCGCAUCACGGAUGUCACCCGCACCACGGACGUCACCCACAUCACCGACGUCACCCGCAUCACGGACGUCACCCGCAUCANNN